GAUGAACGCUGGCGGCGUGCCUAAUGCAUGCAAGUCGAGCGAACGUACUAGGAGCUUUCUUUUCUGAUGUUAGCGGCAACCGGGGGAGUAACAUGUGGCUAACCUACCUAUCAGCCUGGGAUAACUUCUAGAAACCGGAACUAAUUGCGGAUAAAAUUUUGAACAGUCUGGUUCAGAAGUUAAGGACUGUCUUGCUUUCACUUGUAGAUGGAUUCGCGCUGCAUUAGCUAGUUGGUAAGGUAACGGCUUACCAAGGCAACGAUGCAUAGCCGACCUGAGAGGGUGAGCGGCCAGCCUGGAAGUGAGACACGGCCCACACUCUUACGGGAGGCAGCAGCAGGGAAUCUUACGCAAUGGGCGAAAGACUGACGGAGCAACGUCGCGUGAGUGAUGACGGUGUUAGGAUCGGAAAACUCUGUUAUCAGUGAAGAACAAAUGUGUAAGUAACUGUGCACAUAUUGACGGUACCUAAUCAGAAAGCCACGGCUAACUCCGUG
rnacentral:rRNA from 1 species